UUGGUGGGGUGACGGCCUACCAAGGCGACGACGGGUAGCCGGCCUGAGAGGGUGUCCGGCCACACUGGGACUGAGAUACGGCCCAGACUCCUACGGGAGGCAGCAGUGGGGAAUAUUGCACAAUGGGCGCAAGCCUGAUGCAGCGACGCCGCGUGGGGGAUGACGGCCUUCGGGUUGUAAACCUCUUUCACCAUCGACGAAGGUCCGGGUUUUCUCGGAUUGACGGUAGGUGGAGAAGAAGCACCGGCCAACUACGUGCCAGCAGCCGCGGUAAUACGUAGGGUGCGAGCGUUGUCCGGAAUUACUGGGCGUAAAGAGCUCGUAGGUGGUUUGUCACGUUGUUCGUGAAAUCUCACGGCUUAACUGUGAGCGUGCGGGCGAUACGGGCAGACUGGAGUACUGCAGGGGAGACUGGAAUUCCUGGUGUAGCGGUGGAAUGCGCAGAUAUCAGGAGGAACACCGGUGGCGAAGGCGGGUCUCUGGGCAGUAACUGACACUGAGGAGCGAAAGCGUGGGGAGCGAACAGGAUUAGAUACCCUGGUAGUCCACGCCGUAAACGGUGGGUACUAGGUGUGGGUUUCCUUCCUUGGAAUCCGUGCCGUAGCUAACGCAUUAAGUACCCCGCCUGGGGAGUACGG
rnacentral:rRNA from 1 species